ensembl:lncRNA
AGCAGGUAGUGUGCAGUAAUGAUAAGAAUGUGCCGGAGGCCAUGAAGGACUGAUAUCUACUUCAGAAAUACUCAGAAGCAAUGGCUUUCUUUCCCCUCCCCAUGUCCAGUGACAAGAGGAAAUUCCCUCCUGAAAUGCUUCAGCAAAUUUCUCAGCCUUCUCCAGAGCCUUAAUCUUGGAUCUCUCUCUGCUCAAGAUGGAAAGAGGGCUAUCUGUGAUCCAAACAGAACAGGGCUGCCUCUGCCCCGGCAGCCUUAUGUUCACAGCCUCAGCGGAGCUCCCAGCAUGCUGAAACUGGUGUCCAAGAGCCUUGCUGAGAGGACACACUGAAAACAAGACUUCAAAGGACCAGCUACUUGCAGAAGGCCCUGACAAACGUGGAUGUGAAGAAGCUGUACUGGGCAUGCUGGAUGUUGGGUGCAGCAGCUCACCUGUAUACAUGCAAAGCUCCUGCCAAGCUGAGAUCUGGGAUCGGUUGGUAUGCUGUAAAGCGGAGAUGGCGAAGGAAUGCUGUAGGAGGAUCAGACUUCUUGAAGGGGGAUUUGGAAGAGCAUCUGCAAGCAGGAGUGCAUUUCCCAAGCUUCUGAAGGGACACAACUCUAGCAGUGCCAACCAGGAUGAUUGCUCUGUCUGGGCUGCUGCCACCGACACAACUUCUCCCCUGGUGCCCGUGGGAGCAGCUCUUGGAGGUGAGAUGGUGUCUGGGGACUUGACAAGGGGAAAGAAAUCACUCUGAGUCUGUAAUGUCAUACCUCAUUGAAAGAAAGCGUGUCAUGGCUGUUGAAAUGAAUGAACAUUUUUAAUACUUGUGAAUAGGUAGCAUUAAAGCUGAUAAUGUGUGUAAUGUUUUGCUCUACAGCAUUUAUCCUUAAAUGCUGAUGUGGCAAUUACCUGCUUCCUAGCAUUUUACUGUAAAUGUAGAAGUUGAGAAUCUAUACAAGGGUGUGGAUAUCUUAAGGGCGCUAAUUAUUUGGCUUACAAAUAUAGUAGAAAGACUUUAAUUGGGAGAGCUGCUAAACAAAGCAGGUCUUCAUAGCUCCAGCUAAAAAGCUGACCCUGUUCCCAUCAGUAUAGUUGCAGUCAGGUCAGGCUCUGAAUGAAACAGCUGUGAAAACAAGUGUAAGUGCACUUCUGACACUGCAAAAGUCAGCCCAGACUCCAAGGCAUGAGCAGCAUGGCAGCCCAAGUGCUCCUUCACAAAAUACACCACAGACCUUCAUCCUCCAGUUGGCUUUCUGCUGUGGCUGGGGCAGAACU